GAUGAACGCUGGCGGCGUGCCUAAUACAUGCGAGUCGAGCGAACAGACGAGAGUGCUUGCACUCUCUGACGUUAGCGGCGGACGGGUGAGUAACACGUGGGUAACCUACCUAUAAGACUGGGAUAACUUCGGGAAACCGGAGCUAAUACCGGAUAAUAUUUAGCUUCGCAUGAAGCAAUAGUGAAAGACGGUUCUGCUGUCACUUAUAGAUGGACCCGCGGUGUAUUAGCUAGUUGGUGAGGUAACGGCUCACCAAGGCAACGAUACAUAGCCGACCUGAGAGGGUGAUCGGCCACACUGGGACUGAGGCACGGCCCAGACUCCUACGGGAGGCAGCAGUAGGGAAUCUUCCGCAAUGGACGAAAGUCUGACGGAGCAAUGCCGCGUGAGUGAAGAAGGUUUUCGGAUCGUAAAACUCUGUUGUAAGGGAAGAACAAGUACGUUAGUAACUGAACGUACCUUGACGGUACCUUACCAGAAAGCCACGGCUAACUACGUG
rnacentral:rRNA from 1 species